CAGUAGCCGCGGUAAUACGAAGGGUGCAAGCGUUACUCGGAAUUACUGGGCGUAAAGCGUGCGUAGGUGGUGGUUUAAGUCCGUUGUGAAAGCCCUGGGCUCAACCUGGGAAUUGCAGUGGAUACUGGGUCACUAGAGUGUGGUAGAGGAUAGUGGAAUUUCCGGUGUAGCAGUGAAAUGCGUAGAGAUCGGAAGGAACAUCUGUGGCGGAGGCGACUAUCUGGGCCAACACUGACACUGAGACACGAAAGCGUGGGGAGCAAACAGGAUUAGAUACCCGCGUAGUCCCUGUCUCUUAUAC
rnacentral:rRNA from 1 species